rnacentral:rRNA from 1 species
GUGCCAGCAGCCGCGGUAAUACGUAGGACCCGAGCGUUGUCCGGAUUUACUGGGUAUAAAGGGUGCGUAGGCGGUCUUGUGCGUCAGAGGUGAAAUCUCCGGGCUUAACCCGGAGGGUGCCUUUGAAACGGCAGGACUUGAGUGCGGGAGAGGGUGAUGGAAUUCCUGGUGUAGCGGUGAAAUGCGUAGAUAUCAGGAGGAACACCGGUGGCGAAGGCGGUCACCUGGCCCGUAACUGACGCUGAGGCACGAAAGCGUGGGGAUCAAACAGGAUUAGAAACCCCCGUAGUCC